rnacentral:sRNA from 1 species
UGACAAAUAACUAAUAAAACAGGUUGAUA